rnacentral:rRNA from 1 species
GACGAACGCUGGCGGCGUGCUUAACACAUGCAAGUCGAGCGGUAAGGCCCUUUCGGGGGUACACGAGCGGCGAACGGGUGAGUAACACGUGGGUGACCUGCCCUCAGCUCUGGGAUAAGCCUGGGAAACCGGGUCUAAUACUGGAUAUGACUCCAUGACGCAUGUUGUGGGGUGGAAAGCCUUGUGCGGCUGAGGAUGGGCCCGCGGCCUAUCAGCUUGUUGGUGGGGUGANGGCCUACCAAGGCGACGACGGGUAGCCGGCCUGAGAGGGCGACCGGCCACACUGGGACUGAGACACGGCCCAGACUCCUACGGGAGGCAGCAGUGGGGAAUCUUGCGCAAUGGGCGAAAGCCCUGACGCAGCGACGCCGCGUGAGGGAUGACGGCCUCGGUG